GGCUGUGGUCAAAGGCCAUUUUUGCUGGGUAUAAGCGGAGUCUCCAGAACCAAAGGGAGCACACAGCUCUUCUUAAAAUUGAAGGUGAUUAUGCCUAAGAUGAAACAGAAUUAUAUUUGGGCAAGAGAUGCACUUAUGUAUACAAAGCAAAGAACAACACAGUGACUCCUGGCUGCAAACAAAACAAAACCAGAGCAAUCUGGGGAAAGGUAACUCAGGCCCAUGGAAACAGUGGCAUGUUUCGUGCCAAGUUCCAAAGGAAUCUUCCUGCUAAGGCAGGAAGCCUGUCAUGGGGACACAGAAUCUGAGUGAUGCUGUACCCCUCAAGGAUUUA
rnacentral:lncRNA from 1 species